ACAUACGACCAUAGGUUCUAGAGAACUCGGCAUCCCGUCCGCUCUGCCCUAGAUAAACUGGAAACCGCCAAAUUAGUAGUUGAGUCGGUGACGAUCAGCGAAUCCUUGGUGUUGUAUGUU
rnacentral:rRNA from 1 species